GGGCCCGCACAAGCGGUGGAGCAUGUGGUUUAAUUCGAUGAUACGCGAGGAACCUUACCAGGGCUUAAAUGGGAAAUGACAGGGGCAGAGACGCCCCCUUCUUCGGACGGUCUGCAAGGUGCUGCAUGGUUGUCGUCAGCUCGUGCUGUGAAGUGUCGGGUUAAGUCCCAUAACGAGCGCAACCCCUAUUUCUAGUUGCCAGCGGUUCGGCCGGGGACUCUAGAGAAACUGCCAGCGUAAGCUGUGAGGAAGGUGGGGAUGACGUCAAAUCAUCACGGCCCUUACGUCCUGGGCCACACACGUGCUACAAUGGUGGGGACAACGAGUCGCUAACCCGCGAGGGUAAGCUAAUCUUCAAACCCCAUCUCAGUUCGGAUCGGAGUCUGCAACUCGACUCCGUG
rnacentral:rRNA from 1 species